rnacentral:misc_RNA from 1 species
UCCGGUUUGUCACCGGCAGUCUCCUUAGAGUUCCCACCAUUACGUGCUGGCAACUAAGGACAAGGGUUGCGCUCGUUGCGGGACUUAACCCAACAUCUCACGACACGAGCUGACGACAGCCAUGCAGCACCUGUCUCACGGUUCCCGAAGGCACCCCUCGAUCUCUCAAGGGUUCCGUGGAUGUCAAGGCCAGGUAAGGUUCUUCGCGUUGCAUCGAAUUAAACCACAUACUCCACCGCUUGUGCGGGCCCCCGUCAAUUCCUUUGAGUUUCAGUCUUGCGACCGUACUCCCCAGGCGGCCAACUUAACGCGUUAGCUUCGACACUGAGCUCCGAAGUGAGCCCAACGUCCAGUUGGCAUCGUUUAGGGCGUGGACUAC